CGCAGAGAAUCGGAUAACAAUGUCAACCAAUGACAACAAUCCCUGUAUAGUGGAUCAUCAAGAGUUUUCCUGCCGAUUAAUGUAAGCCUUGUGUUCACUUGGAAGACUUGAACCUGUUAUGUACACACUCAUCUUGUUCUUCUCAAGUCCGUCGGGAACCUUACAAGCCAACAAAUUCAUUGUCAUAAGCUUUGUACUUAUGAAGCAGUUAAUAAAUUAUUAUUAGUGGUACUAAGUGCU